GGGGGGGGGGGGGGGGGGGGGGGGCGGGGGGGGGGCGGGCGGGGGGGGGGGGGGGGUGGGGGGGGCUCGGGUGGCGGGCGGGUGCGUGACGCGGGAGUGACCUGCCCUUGACUUGGGGAUGCCUUCAGGGGCCUGGGGCUACUCCCGGAUGUGGGCUCCUGCGGCAUGUGGGGGGUUUGAAAGUUGUGGCGGGUGGGGAUGCACUCGCGGCGUAUCAGCUGGUGGGUGGGGUAGUGGCUGACCAAGGCUUUGACGGGUAGCCGGCCUGAGAGGGUGACCGGCCACAUUGGGACUGAGAUACGGCCCAGACUCCUACGGGAGGCAGCAGUGGGGAAUAUUGCACAAUGGGCGGAAGACUGAUGCAGCAACGCCGCGUGCGGGAUGACGGCCUUCGGGUUGUAAACCGCUUUCGCCUGUGACGAAGCGUGAGUGACGGUAAUGGGUAAAGAAGCACCGGCUAACUACGUG
rnacentral:rRNA from 1 species